rnacentral:rRNA from 1 species
UACGUAGGGCGCAAGCGUUGUCCGGAAUUAUUGGGCGUAAAGAGCUCGUAGGCGGCUUGUCACGUCGGGUGUGAAAGCCCGGGGCUUAACCCCGGGUCUGCAUUCGAUACGGUCUAGCUAGAGUGUGGUAGGGGAGAUCGGAAUUCCUGGUGUAGCGGUGAAAUGCGCAGAUAUCAGGAGGAACACCGGUGGCGAAGGCGGAUCUCUGGGCCAUUACUGACGCUGAGGAGCGAAAGCGUGGGGAGCGAACAGG